rnacentral:lncRNA from 1 species
AUUUUUCAGAGUUAGGGUUUCGCGUUUCGUUUUGGUUUUGGUUUCUCUUUGCGUCUUCUGUGGAGUACGCGGAGGUGGUGCGUCUUCUCUGAACGAGUGCGGCGGUGGUGGCAAUCGAGCGGAGUGGUCGGGCGGUGUCGGCGGUUAGGUCGCAGGGCGGUGUCGGCGGUUAGGUCGCAGGGCGGUGUCGGCGGUUAGGUCGCAGGGUGGUGGCGGUUCGUAAGUUCGUGCGUUUGUGCGACGAUUGCGGUGGUCGCGAGUUGUAGGUCGACGGUGGGGUCGGAAUUGUUACGUGGUCUGAUUUAGGAAAUUAGGGUUCCAU